CAUGAAAGAAGUUUAAAAGGACGGCGUAAAGCUGUCGCUAAAAGGGAUGGGACCUGCGAUGCAUUAGCUAGUUGGUAAGGUAACAGCUUACCAAGGCGAUGAUGCAUAGCCCGAGUUGAGAGACUGAUCGGGCCACAUUGGGACUGAGACACGGGCCCAAACUCCUACGGGAGGCAGCAGUAGGGGAAUCUUCCACAAUGGACGAAAGUCUGAUGGAGCAAACGCCGCGUGAGUGAAGAAGGUUUUCGGAUCGUAAAAAGCUCUGUUGUUGGUGAAGAAGGAUAGAGGUAGUAACUGGCCCUUUAUUUGACGGUAAUCAACCCAGAAAGUCACGGGCUAACUACGUGCCCAGCAGCCGCGGUAAAU
rnacentral:rRNA from 1 species